rnacentral:rRNA from 1 species
UACGUAGGGUGCGAGCGUUGUCCGGAAUUAUUGGGCGUAAAGGGCUCGUAGGCGGUUUGUCGCGUCGGGAGUGAAAACUCAGGGCUUAACCCUGAGCCUGCUUCCGAUACGGGCAGACUAGAGGUAUGCAGGGGAGAACGGAAUUCCUGGUGUAGCGGUGAAAUGCGCAGAUAUCAGGAGGAACACCGGUGGCGAAGGCGGUUCUCUGGGCCUUACCUGACGCUGAGGAGCGAAAGCGUGGGGAGCAAACGGG